rnacentral:ncRNA from 2 species
ACAGCAUUACAAGCGCCAGAACUUGUUCCAGUGUACGGAACCAUUGUUAUGUAAAACAAUGGACAAUGGUCAAGUUGACGAGGUGGGGGUGUUCGAAUUGUUCGGCGGGGACCUCCCGGUAAUCCACCAUACCGUAAAUCGAGAACGGAAAAGAAACAGGCGACUGUUUUUACAACGAAUCGAUAGGUGAAAC